GCGUUAAGUUGCAGGGUAUAGACCCGAAACCCGGUGAUCUAGCCAUGGGCAGGUUGAAGGUUGGGUAACACUAACUGGAGGACCGAACCGACUAAUGUUGAAAAAUUAGCGGAUGACCUGUGGCUGGGGGUGAAAGGCCAAUCAAACCGGGAGAUAGCUGGUUCUCCCCGAAAGCUAUUUAGGUAGCGCCUCGUGAAUUCAUCUCCGGGGGUAGAGCACUGUUUCGGCUAGGGGGCCAUCCCGGCUUACCAACCCGAUGCAAACUGCGAAUACCGGAGAAUGUUAUCACGGGAGACACACGGCGGGUGCUAACGUCCGUCGUGAAGAGGGAAACAACCCAGACCGCCAGCUAAGGUCCCAAAGUCAUGGUUAAGUGGGAAACGAUGUGGGAAGGCCCAGACAGCCAGGAUGUUGGCUUAGAAGCAGCCAUCAUUUAAAGAAAGCGUAAUAGCUCACUGGUCGAGUCGGCCUGCGCGGAAGAUGUAACGGGGCUAAACCAUGCACCGAAGCUGCGGCAGCGACGCUGAUGCGUUGUUGGGUAGGGGAGCGUUCUGUAAGCCUGUGAAGGUGGCCUGUGAGGGUUGCUGGAGGUAUCAGAAGUGCGAAUGCUGACAUAAGUAACGAUAAAGCGGGUGAAAAGCCCGCUCGCCGGAAGACCAAGGGUUCCUGUCCAACGUUAAUCGGGGCAGGGUGAGUCGACCCCUAAGGCGAGGCCGAAAGGCGUAGUCGAUGGGAAACGGGUUAAUAUUCCCGUACUUGGUGUUACUGCGAAGGGGGGACGGAGAAGGCUAUGUUGGCCGGGCGACGGUUGUCCCGGUUUAAGCGUGUAGGUGUGUGUUCCAGGUAAAUCCGGUUCACUUUAACACUGAGGCGUGAUGACGAGGCACUACGGUGCUGAAGCAACAAAUGCCCUGCUUCCAGGAAAAGCCUCUAAGCAUCAGGUAACAUCAAAUCGUACCCCAAACCGACACAGGUGGUCAGGUAGAGAAUACCAAGGCGCUUGAGAGAACUCGGGUGAAGGAACUAGGCAAAAUGGUGCCGUAACUUCGGGAGAAGGCACGCUGACACGUAGGUGAAGUGAUUUACUCACGGAGCUGAAGUCAGUCGAAGAUACCAGCUGGCUGCAACUGUUUAUUAAAAACACAGCACUGUGCAAACACGAAAGUGGACGUAUACGGUGUGACGCCUGCCCGGUGCCGGAAGGUUAAUUGAUGGGGUCAGCGCAAGCGAAGCUCCUGAUCGAAGCCCCGGUAAACGGCGGCCGUAACUAUAACGGUCCUAAGGUAGCGAAAUUCCUUGUCGGGUAAGUUCCGACCUGCACGAAUGGCGUAAUGAUGGCCAGGCUGUCUCCACCCGAGACUCAGUGAAAUUGAACUCGCUGUGAAGAUGCAGUGUACCCGCGGCAAGACGGAAAGACCCCGUGAACCUUUACUAUAGCUUGACACUGAACAUUGAGCCUUGAUGUGUAGGAUAGGUGGGAGGCUUUGAAGUGUGGACGCCAGUCUGCAUGGAGCCGACCUUGAAAUACCACCCUUUAAUGUUUGAUGUUCUAACGUGGACCCGUGAUCCGGGUUGCGGACAGUGUCUGGUGGGUAGUUUGACUGGGGCGGUCUCCUCCUAAAGAGUAACGGAGGAGCACGAAGGUUGGCUAAUCCUGGUCGGACAUCAGGAGGUUAGUGCAAUGGCAUAAGCCAGCUUGACUGCGAGCGUGACGGCGCGAGCAGGUGCGAAAGCAGGUCAUAGUGAUCCGGUGGUUCUGAAUGGAAGGGCCAUCGCUCAACGGAUAAAAGGUACUCCGGGGAUAACAGGCUGAUACCGCCCAAGAGUUCAUAUCGACGGCGGUGUUUGGCACCUCGAUGUCGGCUCAUCACAUCCUGGGGCUGAAGUAGGUCCCAAGGGUAUGGCUGUUCGCCAUUUAAAGUGGUACGCGAGCUGGGUUUAGAACGUCGUGAGACAGUUCGGUCCCUAUCUGCCGUGGGCGCUGGAGAACUGAGGGGGGCUGCUCCUAGUACGAGAGGACCGGAGUGGACGCAUCACUGGUGUUCGGGUUGUCAUGCCAAUGGCACUGCCCGGUAGCUAAAUGCGGAAGAGAUAAGUGCUGAAAGCAUCUAAGCACGAAACUUGCCCCGAGAUGAGUUCU
rnacentral:rRNA from 1 species